UGCCAGCAGCCGCGGUAAUACGAAUGGGGCAAGCGUUGUUCGGAAUCACUGGGCUUAAAGCGUGCGUAGGCGGACUUGCAAGUCGGGAGUGAAAUCCCAGGGCUCAACCCUGGAACUGCUCUCGAAACUGCAAGUCUAGAAACCGGUAGGGGCUAAUGGAAUUCCAAGUGGAGAGGUGAAAUUCGCAGAGAUUUGGAGGAACACCAGUGGCGUAGGCGAUUAGCUGGACCGGUAUUGACGCUGAGGCACGAAAGCGUGGGGAGCAAACAGGAUUAGAUA
rnacentral:rRNA from 1 species